rnacentral:tRNA from 1 species
GCGGGUGUAGUUCAGAGGUAGAACGCAAGCUUCCCAAGCUUGAUGUCGCGGGUUCGAUUCCCGCCACCCGCUCCA